CGGCACGGGUGAGUAACACGUAUCCAACCUGCCGUCUACUCUUGGGCAGCCUUCUGAAAGGAAGAUUAAUACAAGAUGGCAUCAUGAGUCCGCAUGUUCACAUGAUUAAAGGUAUUCCGGUAGACGAUGGGGAUGCGUUCCAUUAGAUAGUAGGCGGGGUAACGGCCCACCUAGUCUUCGAUGGAUAGGGGUUCUGAGAGGAAGGUCCCCCACAUUGGAACUGAGACACGGUCCAA
rnacentral:rRNA from 1 species